ACCAGGCUUACGACGACGUCAGGGUCGUAAACCACAUCUGGAACACAAGGAAACAUCUGUGAGGACAAACACUGACCCGCGGCGAUGACAACGUCGGCGGCGAUCUCUUGUAAUCGCUCAUCCGUCGCCGUCGUCCAGUCCAGCCGCUCCACGCUGACCGCGGGCGUCGUCGCUUCGCUCAGCCCGUUCAGCUCCACGUUAGCCCGGAGCUUGUGCAGGACGCCCGGGUGACAGUCGCUGAAGACGAACCUCGAUGGGCUGCAGGAGCGACAGAUGGUGAUACCGGUCAAUCCCACGCCGCUGCCCAGCUCCAGAACCGUCCUGCACACAGGAAGAGCAGCCAUGUUUUUUACCGAGCACCAGGGGGCACUGCAGGAGAGUCGGCACAUUUUUGGAGCUCUCGACACGUUUAAAGGUUCUGUAGUUUUCUAAUCCUGCUGAAAGACGGACAAAUGAGUCGAGAACAGGAGCUCAGAUGAAUGUCUCUGUGUUUGUAACUCUGGUACCUGCCGGUGAAUGUCUGCGGAUGAUCCAGAGCCCACUCAGCCAGGUAGAGGGCGCUCUCCCACGUCACUAGACCAGUGGUUCCCUGUGAGAUCAGAGCAACGUUCUCCAGCAGACUGAGCGCGUCACCUCCAGGCUGCAGGACACAAACCAACAUGAUUUACAGAGUUCCACCUUGUUCUUUAAUCAUUAGACUCUAGAAUCAUCAUAGUUCUAGAAUGAUUAAUCCAUUGUUAAUUGAUUAUUAAAUUAUUCACCAAUUACUUUAAAUCAAUCACUUCAAUCAAUCAAUCUGUUUAAAUAAUUAAAACCAGUUUCUGUUACUUUU